rnacentral:rRNA from 3 species
AACUGCGAAUGGCUCAUUAAAUCAGUUAUCGUUUAUUUGAUAGUACCUUACUACAUGGAUACCUGUGGUAAUUCUAGAGCUAAUACAUGCUGAAAACCCCGACUUCGGAAGGGGUGUAUUUAUUAGAUAAAAAACCAACGCCCUUCGGGGCUCCUUGGUGAUUCAUAAUAACUUAACGAAUCGCAUGGCCUUGCGCCGGCGAUGGUUCAUUCAAAUUUCUGCCCUAUCAACUUUCGAUGGUAGGAUAGUGGCCUACCAUGGUGGCAACGGGUAACGGGGAAUUAGGGUUCGAUUCCGGAGAGGGAGCCUGAGAAACGGCUACCACAUCCAAGGAAGGCAGCAGGCGCGCAAAUUACCCAAUCCCGAUACGGGGAGGUAGUGACAAUAAAUACUGAUACGGGGCUCUUUUGGGUCUCGUAAUUGGAAUGAGUACAAUCUAAAUCCCUUAACGAGGAACAAUUGGAGGGCAAGUCUGGUGCCAGCAGCCGCGGUAAUUCCAGCUCCAAUAGCGUAUAUUAAAGUUGUUGCAGUUAAAAAGCUCGUAGUUGAACCUUGGGUCUGGCUGGCCGGUCCGCCUCACCGCGAGUACUGGUCCGGCUGGACCUUUCCUUCUGGGGAACCCCAUGGCCUUCACUGGCCGUGGGGGGAACCAGGACUUUUACUGUGAAAAAAUUAGAGUGUUCAAAGCAGGCCUUUGCUCGAAUACAUUAGCAUGGAAUAAUAGAAUAGGACGUGCGGUUCUAUUUUGUUGGUUUCUAGGACCGCCGUAAUGAUUAAUAGGGAUAGUCGGGGGCGUCAGUAUUCAGCUGUCAGAGGUGAAAUUCUUGGAUUUGCUGAAGACUAACUACUGCGAAAGCAUUCGCCAAGGAUGUUUUCAUUAAUCAGGGAACGAAAGUUAGGGGAUCGAAGACGAUCAGAUACCGUCGUAGUCUUAACCAUAAACUAUGCCGACUAGGGAUCGGACGGUGUUUCUUUUAUGACCCGUUCGGCACCUUACGAGAAAUCAAAGUUU